UACGUAGGGUGCGAGCGUUGUCCGGAAUUAUUGGGCGUAAAGGGCUCGUAGGCGGUUUGUCGCGUCGGGAGUGAAAACCUCGGGCUUAACUCGGGGCUUGCUUUCGAUACGGGCAGACUAGAGGUAUGCAGGGGAGAACGGGAUUCCAGGUGUAGCGGUGAAAUGCGUAGAUAUCUGGAGGAACACCGGUGGCGAAGGCGGCGUUCUGGACUGCAACUGACACUGAGGAACGAAAGCCAGGGGAGCAAACGGG
rnacentral:rRNA from 1 species